UGAACUAGAGAGUGCUGUGCAGGAGGAAGCUGGGGCCGCCGUCGGGCCUUCUCCCUCCAGGGGCCCAAGAGCCACUGGUACUCAGUGUCUGGGUGGGGGCAGGGGGGAUUUUUGUUCUCCCAGCACCUGCGGCUGUUGAGACCAGAGAAGCUGGUGGUCGACCACAGCCUGGGGUAUUAGUUCACCCCUAGCUUCUCCCCAGCGAGACCCCAGGGCCCUUGGGCACAGGGGAUUAAGCCUCUAUCUGCUUACGUGCAAGCGGAAGAAAUAGGCCCAGAGAGCAACAGUGGCGGGUCUGCAGUCACACAGCCAACUUGCGCUUGUGGCAGUGGCAAGGUUGAAGUUCUGAGGGUACCCCUCACUCAAGCUCCAGGCGUCAGGAAAAGAACAUUCCACGAAGUCCAUCUGGAAGACGGUCCUUUCCCUGCUGCCCCCAGAUUUGAUUUAGAGGAGACUGAAGAAGAGGCCUUACAGAAGGCAAAGAAGGAAAGUUCCAGAUGGGAGAACCCAGCCUCUCCUCCACUGCCGCAGAUGAUUCUGCUGUAGCCCAGAUUUGCAAGCUCCACUCAGCAAAAUAAUCUCCCUGUAUCAGUCAUCCAUUGCUGCAUAACAGAUGACUCCAAAAUGCAGUGGCCUAAAGCAACAAUAACUCAGAUUUU
rnacentral:lncRNA from 1 species